GACGAACGCUGGCGGCGUGCUUAACACAUGCAAGUCGAACGGGCCUGUCUUCUUUUUUGGGGGUGGGUUGAGUGGCGAACGGGUGAGUAUCACGUGAGUAACCUGCCCUUCGGUCCUGGAUAACCGCUUGAAAGGGCGGCUAAUACGGGGUGGUCCGGUUGGUCCGCAUGGGCUGGUCGGGAUAGAUUCACUGUUUUUGGUGUUUCGGCGGGGGAUGGGCUCGCGGCCUAUCAGCUUGUUGGUGGGGUGAUGGCCUACCAAGGCGGUGACGGGUAGCCGGCCGGAGAGGGUGGGCGGCCACACUGGGACUGAGAUACGGCCCAGACUCCUGCGGGAGGCAGCAGUGGGGGGGAUUGCACAAUGGGCGGAAGCCUGAUGCAGCGACGUCGCGUGAGGGAGGGAGGCCUUCGGGUUGUGAACCUCUGUUUCCGGUGGUGAAGGCCCUGUCCGUGUGGUGGGGUUGACGGUAGCCGGGGAUGAAGCGCCGGCUAACUACGUG
rnacentral:rRNA from 1 species